rnacentral:rRNA from 1 species
GGGCUGCAGUAUUUUGACUGUACAAAGGUAGCAUAAUCAAUAGUCUCUUAAUUGGUGACUUGUAUGAAAGAUUGGAUGAGAUAUAUACUGUCUCUAAUUAAUUUAUUGAAAUUAAUUUUUUAGUAAAAAAGCUAAAAUAAUUUUAAAAGACGAGAAGACCCUAUAGAGUUUAAUAAUUUAUUUAAUUAUUAUUAAUAUAUAAUUUUUAAAAUUAAAAUUAAAUAAAUUAUUUUGUUGGGGUGAUAAAAAAAUUAAAUUAACUUUUUUUUGUUAUUAACAUUAAUUUAUGAGUAAAUGAUCCAUUUAUAGUGAUUAAAAGAAAAAAUUACCUUAGGGAUAACAGCGUAAUUUUUUUUUUUAGUUCAAAUAGGAAAAAAAGUUUGCGACCUCGAUGUUGGA